UUAAUUGAAACCAAAAAGAGGUUUAUCACUGUUAAUGAUACAUAAUGGAUGUUCCCAAUUAAA
rnacentral:tRNA from 1 species